AACUACUGAUAUGGGAGAUUUAAUGCCAGAUCUAGAAAAGUAUCAUCGAAUUGUGGGCAAACUCUUGUAUCCCAGCAUGAUAAAGCCUGAUAUUACAUUCCCUGUACAACAACUAAGUCAAUUUUUGCAAGCCCUACGUCUUCCUCAUUAGAACGCUGCUGUGCAAGUUUUUAAAUACUUAAAAAGGCAGUCCCUCCAAAGGCAUAUUUUUUUCGGCUUCAUCGUUAUUCACUCUAAUCGCAUAUUGCUAUGCGGAUUGGGCAGCCUAUCCAACAAGCCGUCGCUCCAUCAUUGGUUAUUGUAUUUUCUUAGCCUCUGCUUUUGUCUCGUGGAAAUCGAAAAACAAACCACAGUAAGUCGUUUCUCUGCGAGGCAGAGUACAGAAGUAUGGCAAACACAGUUUGUGAGCUCAAGUAGAUUUCUUUUCUUCUUCGAGAUUUCCAGGUUGAUGUGCCAAAUCCCAUGCCCUUAAACUGUGAUAGUCAAGCUACUAUACACAUCAGUAGUAAUCCCACUUUCUAUGAGAGGAUCAAAUACAUAGAUAUCGAUUGCCAUGUUGUACGAGACAAUGUUACAAGCAAAUUCAUUUCACCAGUUCACACUUCAUCUCGCCUACAGCUUAUAGAUAUUUUCACCAAGACCAUAUCAGCAACAGGCCUCAAUUUCAUAUAGUCCAAGUUGGGAUUGGUUGAAUUCACCAGUCUCCACCUUAAGGGGGAAUGAAGAAAUAGUUAUUGAUAUAAUAUAUUGCAGUUCACUGAUAGUUUAGUCUAGUUACUAAAUGGCACCAAAUUUGUUAAUAAGCAGUUAUUUAGUUCAGCAGGUAGUUAGAAUUCUCUAGUUUCUUCUCACAUGUACAUAAACAUGUACAGAUGAUUAUUUCUAUUAGAUCAAUGAGAAUAUUUUUUCUCUCCAAUCUUCUUGUUUUUCUUCCUCUAUACUCUGUUCAUCUCUAUUUUGCUGUUCUUUGUUCGAAGUACGAAUGUGAGUUAAUAUCCAAAGUAGAAAUAGAACAAGGGUGAAGGCUGUCCUUUGCUUCCUUCUUUCCACCAUCUUCGCCUAGAAAAUCAUGGGCAUCUUUGAUGUCUUUUUGGGGAUAGAAUACCCUGCUUUAUUGCUAUUUAAUGGCCAGAACUAUCAAUCUAACUGUUUUAGAUUGAAGAGCUAGAUAAUAAUAAUAAUAAUAUCCUAUACUUGCAUGUUCACCAUAUCAUACAUGGUGUAAUCUUGCAUUGGGAGUGUUAAUGUGAUAAGUGCAUAAUUUAUUAAUUUUACUCCCAUCACAUUUAGUGUUUAUAGUGUAUUUUUAUGCCUAAUUCAGUUGAUUAAAGUAUAAUUAUUAAUUAGGCUUAUU
rnacentral:misc_RNA from 1 species